GAUGUGGGAAGGCUCAGACAGCCAGGAUGUUGGCUUAGAAGCAGCCAUCAUUUAAAGAAAGCGUAAUAGCUCACUGGUCGAGUCGGCCUGCGCGGAAGAUGUAACGGGGCUAAGUAGUAAACCGAAGCUGCGGCAAUGUGCUUUUGCACAUUGGGUAGGGGAGCGUUCUGUAAGCGGUUGAAGGUGUGUGGUAACGCAUGCUGGACGUAUCAGAAGUGCGAAUGCUGACAUGAGUAACGAUAAAGGGGGUGAAAAACCUCCUCGCCGGAAGACCAAGGGUUCCUGUCCAACGUUAAUCGGGGCAGGGUAAGUCGACCCCUAAGGCGAGGCCGAAAGGCGUAGUCGAUGGGAAACGGGUUAAUAUUCCCGUACUUCUUACAAUUGCGAUGGGGGGACGGAGAAGGCUAGGUGGGCCUGGCGACGGUUGUCCAGGUUCAAGUGCGUAGGCUUAAGAGUUAGGUAAAUCCGGCUCUUUUUAAGGCUGAGACACGACGUCGAGCACCUACGGGUGUGAAGUCAUUGAUGCCAUGCUUCCAGGAAAAGCCUCUAAGCUUCAGAUUGUAAGGAAUCGUACCCCAAACCGACACAGGUGGUCGGGUAGAGAAUACCAAGGCGCUUGAGAGAACUCGGGUGAAGGAACUAGGCAAAAUGGUACCGUAA
rnacentral:rRNA from 1 species